GUGCUCACUGCAGCAGCACAUCUACUAAAACUGAUACAGAGAAGAUUAGCGUAGCUCCUGUACAAGGAUGACAUGCAAAUUCAUGAGCGUUCCAGAGAUGGG